rnacentral:rRNA from 1 species
GAUGAACGCUAGCUACAGGCUUUAACACAUGCAAGUCGAGGGGCAGCAUUGUUGUUGCUUGCAAUAACAGAUGGCGACCGGCGCACGGGUGAGUAACGCGUAUCCAACCUUCCCCAUACUAAGGAAUAGCCUGCCGAAAGGCAGAUUAAUGCCUUAUGUUCUCCGUUGACGGCAUCAGAUAUGGAGCAAAGAUUUAUCGGUAUGGGUUGGGGAUGCGUCCGAUUAGCUAGACGGUGAGGUAACGGCUCACCGUGGCGACGAUCGGUAGGGGUUCUGAGAGGAAGGUCCCCCACAUUGGAACUGAGACACGGUCCAAACUCCUACGGGAGGCAGCAGUGAGGAAUAUUGGUCAAUGGGCGGAAAGCCUGAACCAGCCAAGUAGCGUGAGGGAUGACUGCCCUAUGGGUUGUAAACCUCUUUUAUGUGAGGAUAAAUGACGGUACGUGUACCGUUUUGCAGGUAUCACAAUGAAUAAGGACCGGCUAAUUCCGUGCCAGCC